rnacentral:rRNA from 1 species
UCGAGAAUCUUCCGCAAUGGGCGAAAGCCUGACGGAGCGACGCCGCGUGCGGGAUGAAGGCCUUCGGGUUGUAAACCGCUGUCAGAAAGGAAGAAAUGCAUCAGGGUUCUCUCUGGUGUUUGACUACCCUUUCAGAGGAAGCGCAGGCUAAGUUCGUGCCAGCAGCCGCGGUAACACGAACUGCGCGAACGUUAUUCGGAAUCACUGGGCUUAAAGAGUGCGUAGGCGGCUUGGCAGGUGGGGUGUGAAAUCCCUCGGCUCAACCGAGGAACUGCGCUCCAAACCGUCAAGCUAGAGGGAGACAGAGGUGAGCGGAACUUACGGUGGAGCGGUGAAAUGCGUUGAUAUCGUAAGGAACACCGGUGGCGAAGGCGGCUCACUGGGUCUUUUCUGACGCUGAGGCACGAAAGCUAGGGUAGCGAACGGGAUUAGAUACCCCCGUAGUCC